rnacentral:piRNA from 1 species
UGGUAUGAGGCACAGGGAUUGAGCGAGC